GCACUUAUGUGCGCCAAAAGCGAGAGGCCGCAGGGGGCGCUGGCAGCAGCGCGCGCAAGGAAGGCACGGGCGCUGGCAGCAGCGCACGCAAGGAAGGCAUGGCAAAGGAAAGCGCGCACAAGGAAGGCAUGGCAAAGGAAGGCAUGGCAAAGGAAAGCGCGCACAAGGAAGGCAUGGCAAAGGAAAGCGCGUGCAAGGAAGGCAUGGCAAAGGAAGGUGACUGAUUUGGUGGCUAAAUUGAUAGACCUAAAUUUAGGGGAGAUGAUUUCAAUUAGUCACUUGCCUAAUUAGUGGUUGCCUAGUUUGUCAACCGGUGGCCUAUAUAUAGGCCUGUACGCAGGAGACAAAUGAAGGAGGAAUAUAUUAUCAAACCAAUCUCUCUCUCUCUUGCAAUGACUCUCAAGCGCCUAGGGCUGCUACCCUAGAACCAAGCCUGCGGCAGAGGGGUAUAACCUCGCCGGAGAAGACAGCUAUCCUCAUGGACCGAAGGUCCAUGACACCUGGUAUCAGCUCCAGGUUAUCCUCACCACCACCAGCCGCCCAUACCUCACCACCACCAGCCGCCGCGCCAUCAGCCGCCGCAACGACCUCCCACCCGCCCUCUCCAACUCUAGAUGCAUUCACUCGGCUCAAAGAGAGUUUUGGCCGCUUCACAGAGCAGUGGGAUCAGUUCGUUGUGAUGUUCCACCGCUACAAGGAGAAGACAGAGAAGGAACUCCAAGCAGCGGUGCGGCUUCAGACGGCAGCGCGAGGGUUCCUGGCACGCCGCCAGGUACAGUCCCUUCGUGGGGAGAAGCACCUUGCUGUGGCCUCCAGGGCCACCCCAUGGCCGUCAUCACAUGAGCAGGCCGUGGUGCGCCUGCAAGCCGCAGUGCGCGGCUUCCUUGUUAGGCGGGCGGUGCGGAAGCUGCACUUGCUGAUCAGCUCAUCGCUGCACCAACUCGCAGCCUGCGUGCCCAACCACCAGGUCUCAUCUAUACUUUUUGAACCCCCUGCAGAAGUAGAGAUCUGGGUAUGCAGCCCCCCUGCACGGCCAAAGAGGGUCGUCUCCUUCAUUCGGGCACCUGCCUUGGUGUUGGACAGACCCAACAUAAGAACGGGCUGGUUCCUCCUCCACCUUUCAUCCAACGUCAAGGCCGCAAUUCAGCUCUUUCCUUGGGAUCCAGGAGGACAGGAGGACAUAGCUGCAGUUCAAAUUUAUAUUUUAGUUCCACAAUUAUUUUAUAUUUUCGUCUUAAAUAAUAAAGGUAAGCCGAGAUGUAAAAGGCUUAACCUUAAGUCGUGUCAGGUAAGUCUAUGGCAGCUCGAGGACAAGCUGGUCCUCAAGGGAGGGGGAGAUGUCAUGGGCAUCAUAGGGAGCGGUCACUCAUGUGGGGUCGCACUUAUGUGCGCCAAAAGCGAGAGGCCGCAGGGGGCGCUGGCAGCAGCGCGCGCAAGGAAGGCACGGGCGCUGGCAGCAGCGCACGCAAGGAAGGCAUGGCAAAGGAAAGCGCGCACAAGGAAGGCAUGGCAAAGGAAGGCAUGGCAAAGGAAAGCGCGCACAAGGAAGGCAUGGCAAAGGAAAGCGCGUGCAAGGAAGGCAUGGCAAAGGAAGGUGACUGAUUUGGUGGCUAAAUUGAUAGACCUAAAUUUAGGGGAGAUGAUUUCAAUUAGUCACUUGCCUAAUUAGUGGUUGCCUAGUUUGUCAACCGGUGGCCUAUAUAUAGGCCUGUACGCAGGAGACAAAUGAAGGAGGAAUAUAUUAUCAAACCAAUCUCUCUCUCUCUUGCAAUGAC
rnacentral:lncRNA from 1 species